rnacentral:rRNA from 1 species
CACGUAGGGCGCAAGCGUUGUCCGGAAUUAUUGGGCGUAAAGAGCUCGUAGGCGGUCUGUUGCGUCCGCUGUGAAAACUCGGGCUUAACCCCGAGCCUGCAGUGGAUACGGGCAGACUAGAGGUAGGUAGGGGAGAAUGGAAUUCCCGGUGUAGCGGUGAAAUGCGCAGAUAUCGGGAGGAACACCGGUGGCGAAGGCGGUUCUCUGGGCAUGAUCUGACGCUGAGGAGCGAAAGCGUGGGGAGCGAACAGG